UGGGGAAUAUUGCACAAUGGGCGAAAGCCUGAUGCAGCGACGCCGCGUGAGGGAUGACGGCCUUCGGGUUGUAAACCUCUUUCAGUAGGGACGAAGCGCAAGUGACGGUACCUGCAGAAGAAGCACCGGCUAACUACGUGCCAGCAGCCGCGGUAAUACGUAGGGUGCGAGCGUUGUCCGGACUUACUGGGCGUAAAGAGCUCGUAGGCGGUUUGUCACGUCGUCUGUGAAAUCCUAGGGCUUAACCCUGGACGUGCAGGCGAUACGGGCUGACUUGAGUACUACAGGGGAGACUGGAAUUUCUGGUGUAGCGGUGGAAUGCACAGAUAUCAGGAAGAACACCGAUGGCGAAGGCAGGUCUCUGGGUAGUAACUGACGCUGAGGAGCGAAAGCAUGGGUAGCGAACAGG
rnacentral:rRNA from 1 species